CAGAUUUCUGGCUCGAUGAAAGAGAUGUGACCCUAACCCUAAUAUAUCGCAGUCGAGAAACAAAGAAGGUCAUCUCUCCUCUUCCUGCGACGGCGACCUCUUCUCCUCCUGUGACCGCGACCGAUGCCGAUGCCGUUUACAAUUCUUCUCACCAUUUCAAACGGCCUGGGUAAAGGCUUCGUGAUUAAUCACAUUGAUUCGCUCGCCCACUACGUAGUCAUCAAUGCUUCCUUUUGAUCUGAUAAGCGGUGCUUUCUGUAUAAAUAUGUUGAUGAAACUGUCACGUUAAGCUUAUUUGACUCGCAAGCUGUUUCUUUCCACAACAACUUGGAGAAUUAUGUGGUGAUCCAAAGGUUAUUGUUGAUACAAACAUAAACCCAAAGCUGAUUGGAGGUCGUUUGUUCUUGAACGCAACGUCAGGGACGCACGUAUAUUUUGAUAAGGAGACGAAUGCAGGGGAAGUUUUCUUCUACCAGUUGGUCGCUAAGGACACCGGUCUUCCAUCUGCCGCACCACUGCUUAGAGGAUAUGCAAAGGCUGAGCCUCUGAAGAUCACUGAGCUCAACAAUUUCAUCAUCACUGCUCCAACACAGGAAAUUGACUUCUUAUGCACGGGGAGAGUUGCUCGCGUUGAUGCAGAUAAGGGAUGGUGUUAUGUUGCUUGCUCCAAAUGCAGUAGGAAAUUGCAGCGCACCGUCUCUGCUUUUACAUGUGAUCGAUGCGCUAAUCCUCAUGCCGUUGAGGCUCUUCGAUGGCUAUUGCUGAUGAUACUGCUGAGGGAAUAUUUGUUUGGUUUGAUGGUGUAAUGACGAAGCUCCAUAACCUCAGAGCAAGUGAGGCUGGUCAGAUGCUGAAGGAGUGAACCCUGAAGACACCGGUUUGCCUCCGUUCAUUGCAGACAUGGAACCUACACUUUCCAGGUCAGAGUCACUGCGUAUAACUUUACAGAGCACCAUAAGACGUUCACCAUAACACACAUCGUUGAUGAGAUUGACCGUGUGCCAUUACUUGACGUCGCCGACGAUUGGGAUGAUGGCGAUGAUGAUGAUGACAAGCCAGCUGCCAAGCCACUUCCUGUUGAGGUUCAAUCUGGAGGGGUCAGUGGUAAUGCACAUAAGAAGACUGUCGACUCAACUUCCAAUGUGUUCAAGAAGGCGCGUGUUGCUUGAUAUGGAGUAACAAUAAUUUUAUGAUCAGACUCCGAAUUAUAAUAAUACUUAUGCAUCGUUAUUACCUUUCACGUAUUUGGUUUUCUCUGUUUUUUCUUUCCCCAGUUUUAUGGGCACUCUUUAUGUUUCAAACCAUCUUCGUAAUAUGAGUUUCUUUCUUU